UACGAAGGGGGCUAGCGUUGUUCGGAAUCACUGGGCGUAAAGCGCACGUAGGCGGAUCUUUUAAGUCAGAGGUGAAAUCCCAAGGCUCAACCUUGGAACUGCCUUUGAUACUGGGGAUCUUGAGUCCGGGAGAGGUGAGUGGAACUGCGAGUGUAGAGGUGAAAUUCGUAGAUAUUCGCAAGAACACCAGUGGCGAAGGCGGCUCACUGGCCCGGUACUGACGCUGAGGCACGAAAGCGUGGGGAGCAAACAGG
rnacentral:rRNA from 1 species